UCGAUGAUACGGSGAGGAACCUUACCCGGGAUUGAAAGUUAGUGACCGGUGNUGAAAGCCACUUUUCCAGCAAUGGACACGAAACUAGGUGCUGCAUGGUUGUCGUCAGCUCGUGCCGUGAGGUGUCGGGUUAAGUCCCAUAACGAGCGCAACCCCUGUCGUUAGUUGCUAGCAGGUAAUGCUGAGGACUCUAACGAGACUGCCGGUGUAAACCGAGAGGAAGGUGGGGAUGACGUCAAAUCAGCACGGCCCUUACGUCCGGGGCGACACACGUGUUACAAUGGAUGGUACAAAGGSUUGCGACAUAGUGAUAUGAGGCCAAUCUCAAAAAGCCAUUCUCAGUUCGGAUCGCGGGCUGAAACUCGCCUGCGUGAAGUUGGAUUCGCUAGUAAUCGUAUAUCAGCCAUGAUACGGUGAAUACGUUCCCGGGCCUUGUACACACCGCCCGUCAAGCCAUGRAAGUUGGGGGUGCCUGAAGUA
rnacentral:rRNA from 1 species